UGUUGAAUUGUUCUAAUGGCGUAUUGCACCUUUCUGAGAUGUGUUCAGGUGAUAUGGUAAGGUGUGAAACUUGAUUGUUUAGACGAUUGGUUGUCGGGAAAUUGAAUCGGAUUGAUGUGUAGUUCACCUGAUUAGCUGAUACACCAUGGCCAACCGCUGAAGGUCACAUAUACCCGUCUGAAUUGUGGAUCCUCAUCUCUGCCAUUGCUGUUAAUAAAAAGAUAAGAGCUGUCCGUGCAUUGGGAUAAGGGAAGGAACUCUACAUGGGCUCCGAGAAACCAUGACCAACCGCUUAAGGUCACCUAUACCAUACUGAACUGUCCUUGCAUUGAGAUAAGGGCAGGAACUCUACAUGGGUUCCGAUACACCCUGGUCAACAGCUGCAUGUCACAUAUACCAGACUGAAGUAUAAACCAUCAUCUCUGCCAUUGCUGUGAAUACAAAGAUAUGCGAUAUCAUUUUUAAAGGUCAGUUUCCAGUUCGUGUCAGAUGGGACACAAACACGAUCCGGUUCCACUGCUGAAGAAGUAUGGCGCAACGUUUACGGAUGCCAUGAAGAUUCCUCAAUUUAGACGUUCCGUGAAGGCUGAACAUCGUUGCAUAUUAAAGAAAUUGGAGUGACUGAAUAAUAUUUUUCGGCGUAGCUGUUUAACGUCACUUUUGACCUUAGAUGACCUUCAUUCAUGAUAGGUCCCAAAUGAAUAAAUCCGAAUUGUGCAUUGGCUAAUAAUACAUAAAUCACCGUAAACACAUUGGAUGCAUAUCAUUUGAAUUGAAAUAUGAAUAUAUUGUAAAAUUACAUUAAAAGUAGCUAUUGUUUAUAUGCCGUAGCGGUCACACUAAACACUGCAAAAACAGGCUAGAUUGCGCUUUACGGGUACGCAGUUGUUUACCACUAUUGACAAAGCGGGGGUUUCGGGGCGGUAGCCCCCGAAACUUAGGAAAUAUAUAGGUGCUAAAAAUAUGUCUGUCUUUGAUUUAUUCUAAUCAAUAUUAGUGCGUUUAUUAGUGUUAAUUUGUUUCUUUGUACUUAGUUUUGUUCAUUUUUUAUAUAAAGUUCUGUGUUUCUGCAAAAUAUUCAUAUCACUAUGAUGCUUGCAAUAUUGAGUCUUUUAUGUUUACAUUCUAUUAACAUCUUUACACAUUAUAACACAUUAUCUUUUAUUUCAUUCCAACAUUGUGUUCAUAGUACUUCAGUGGCGAAUUUGUUUUCUUUUCCUAUUGAAUUUAAUGUAUU